UGGGGAAUUUUGGACAAUGGGCGAAAGCCUGAUCCAGCAAUGCCGCGUGUGUGAAGAAGGCCUUCGGGUUGUAAAGCACUUUUGUCCGGAAAGAAAUCCUCUGGGUUAAUACCUCGGGGGGAUGACGGUACCGGAAGAAUAAGCACCGGCUAACUACGUGCCAGCAGCCGCGGUAAUACGUAGGGUGCAAGCGUUAAUCGGAAUUACUGGGCGUAAAGCGUGCGCAGGCGGUUUUGUAAGACGGAUGUGAAAUCCCCGGGCUUAACCUGGGAACUGCAUUCGUGACUGCAAGGCUAGAGUAUGGCAGAGGGGGGUAGAAUUCCACGUGUAGCAGUGAAAUGCGUAGAGAUGUGGAGGAAUACCGAUGGCGAAGGCAGCCCCCUGGGCCAAUACUGACGCUCAUGCACGAAAGCGUGGGGAGCAAACAGAAUUAGAUACCCUGGUAGUCCACGCCCUAAACGAUGUCAACUAGUUGUUGGGGAUUCAUUUCCUUAGUAACGUAGCUAACGCGUGAAGUUGACCGCCUGGGGAGUACGGUCGCAAGAUU
rnacentral:rRNA from 1 species